rnacentral:lncRNA from 1 species
AUGGACAUGGAAUUGCAAAGAAUAGUGAAGGGAGGCUCACAGUGCUCCCUCCAGCCGCCAGCACACCAUUCAUUAAUCACCUCAGACUGACACCGGCCGUCACAGUCUGGGGGGGGGAAUAAUUUCAAUGGCAUUUUUAGAGCUGUCAGCCUGGGUGGGCCAGUUAAGUCCCCCUCCACCCAGACUGCAACCGGGCCACACUGCUAGUGGUCUUGGGUCAUGUGCGGGUAGGACACCCUAGCUUUAAAUAUAUGAUUCCCACUUUUGAUAGCAGGGACUGGGAAGGUAGAGGAAUGAUACAUUUGCACCAAUUAUGGUCAGGUGUCAAGUCAUUCGCAAUGCUCCAAACUGAAUAUGGUAUUACCCCUAUACUUUUCUUGUUAUAUCUCCAAUUAAGCUCUACAUUAAGGCCUGUUUCCAAGGUAUUUUUUAUUUUUUUUCCUAUUAUCUAUUUUAUUUAUUUACUUUGUUCUUGGUGCACCCUGUAAUUGUUGUUUCCUAUACUCAAGGAGAGGCUGUUAUGGCAAAUUAAAGUCUCUAAAUCUUUUGACAUAAGUCACCAAUCUAGACAUGUCGCCCGGACCCUUCAGGCUUCCGACUGGUCCAUAAUUGAAAAAAUGUGUGCGGGCCUGACACCUAAAAGAAGGGUAAUCUCAGUGUGCUACGAUGACAUAUUGAUAUUGACAGUCACAGGUUACCAGUGGCAGCUGAAACGUUCCUACUCUUCAUGUUGCCAAACACUUUUAUCGGAUACCAGGGUACCCUGGCCUUCCAUAUACUCAUAGCAGAAAAUCUCUUAAUAGCUAGGAAAUGGAAAUCAAAGGGCGCCCAAGGAAGGGAUGAAGUGGUACAACAGGUCACGACUAAUGGUAAAUAUGAGAGCGUGGCGUCUAUGGGCUCUAAUAGAAACAAGGAUAUUAGGAAAGCAUGGGAAAUUUGGGACGACCUUAUAAAUAACGAUUAGAGGGGCAUACAUGGUGUCCAGAGAAUAUGUGACCCACAUUCUCCAAUAACCUUGCCUGUGUACUCUACAGACAAGAUUAGGAGGGGGAAGUGUCAAGGGGACAAUUAUACCAAGCUCUAUAGGAUAAAAAAAACACAACAACUUUUCCAUUAUGGUUCCAAGAAGGCACUAUUUAAUUGUAGGUGCAGCAGGCACAAAGGAACCCAGAACAUCCCCACACCUUGGAAGGGACAAGUGCACCCCAUUUCUCCGGUAAGUCCCCUGAACGGGACUCGGACUCCCCACAGCACUAACCCCUCCAACACUGAGCUAUUGAAUAUCUAUAUGUAGGGAAGCUCUCCUUCACUUCUAAAGUACUUUAUCUCCUACUGUUCUAUCUUUCCUACUUUCCGAUCCGCUCUACCUUCACAAGAAAGACGGUCCCACGUCAAGUUGCCUUUUCAUCGGUGGACAAGUGUUUGAAGCAGUUACAACCUUUACUAAACAAUAGUUACUAUCCUGUGGGUUGACAAUGUUAUAAUGUAUGUUUCUUUUAGUGAGCAUAUAGCAUAAUGAUUUUAUGUGAUCAAAAUGAGCUACCGGCAGAGCAUUGAUGAUUACUGUUGGAACUUAAAGCGGCACUGUCAUGCCGAAACCCGUUUUUUUUUUUUAACCCCCCUCCCGCCUCCACUACAUCCAAUUGACCCACUAGUCACCCCCAAAUGCCCCUAAGCCCCCCACAUUACCUAUUUUUAAAUCCUUAUUUUCUGCCCCGAUCUUGAUUCAGGGCGCAGCCAUCUUUGUGUGGGUAGGUGAAGUCCCUGUGGGACACGUCAUCAGCCCACACUAGGCAGACACUGAGAUUCCCGCACAUGCCCAGUGAAACACCUGGACAUGCGAACGGGAAUUUCAUCUAUUCAUUCAUUCAUCAGACAGACGAAUGAGUGAAUAGAAAGAUCAGCCGAACAAACAAACACAAUGUAUCAGUGUAUCUGAGUAUCAGUGUAUGUUUGUUCGUGCAGUUUAUUACAAGGAGGGAGCUACCGGCGUGCAGCUCCCUCCUUGUAAUAUGUAACUAUAGAAGUGGCAGGGAGCAGUGCUCCCCACCACUUCAUAAGCCCCCCAGUACCCCCUCUCACUCUAUGGGGGUCAAUAUGACCCCCAUAAUAGCACAAGAGAGAUUUAAAUCUCCCAAAUGCCCCUACUCACUAUACCGCGAGUAGGGGCAUGUCUACAAAACAGUGAGCAGGACCUAUUGUCCUCCCCCCCUCCCCCACCC